UACGUAGGGUGCAAGCGUUAAUCGGAAUUACUGGGCGUAAAGCGUGCGUAGACGGUUAUUUAAGUCGGGUGUGAAAGCCCCGGGCUCAACCUGGGAAUUGCAUUCGAGACUGAAUAGCUAGGGUACGGUAGAGGGAAGCGGAAUUUCCGGUGUAGCGGUGAAAUGCGUAGAUAUCGGGAGGAACACCGGUGGCGAAGGCGGUUCUCUGGGCCUUACCUGACGCUGAGGAGCGAAAGCGUGGGGAGCGAACAGG
rnacentral:rRNA from 1 species